GCAUCAUUGAAACACCAUAUCUCCACUGUGACUCGAAGCAGCUUUAUUUUGGCUGUCUGUAACAGACCUUUGUAUUGGAAGCUACUGCAGCGCUUUAAGAUGAGUGUUACGUUGUUCCUCCACAAUGGUCCAGCCAGCAGUCUAGCUGCUCUACUCUGAACCUGUUAUCUUGUAACAGUACACAAAACCUGGUGCCUUUUUGACUCCACAUCCACAUUACAUCUGAAUAAAAUAAAGAUUUAAAAGUAGGUUAAUACUACUUUUAAGUUCUCCUGUUCAUCUCCCACUACCAGAUCUCCUAUUUUCCCAUUAAAGAGUGUGUUUGUUCUAUUGUAGAAUGUGUCAGCCACUUCUACCAAAGGAUAUUACAAUGUGAAGUACCCAGGAAUGUAGGUUUUAGAUGGAUUCCACUUAAGUAAAACUGCAAAACAGAUCUUUUACAUUUGAAUAACAGAAAAUUUGGACACCAAACCAAGAUUGAACUCAAGAAGCUUUUUCCCUCCCUAUUCUGUAAGCAAACAGAAAAGUUUGAAGGACAUGUGGAAAGCCUGGUAGUAACACUUCAAAAUCUAAUGCAGUUUAGUUCUCUCUUUUCAAAGGGCCAGCUAGAUGCCUCUAAGUGUUGUCUUGAGUAUUUCCUAAAUUGGAAUGCUUGAAUAUUUCCACAGAAAUGUAUUUUAUAGCUGUGAAACAAUAAUGAAGAUGCAAUGACUUUUCCUGAUCUUUAAUAUACAUGUAUGUCUUGGGGUUAUCAGUUGCAUAGAAUGGGGUAACAUAAUGGGUGUCUAUAGGUCACACAUAUUGGUCUGAACUUCCUAAAUGUCUGACUGCUACAUUUGGAACUUUUUAAACAACAAAUGUUUUAAUUAUUACAGCUGUCAAAAGUAAAAGAGAAGACUGGUUAAAUUACGCUCCUGUAAAAAGAAGAAAAACUGAGGAAGAUGAAGCUCAAGUUGAUGAUGACAUCCCACUUGAUAUUGCAAUAAAAUUAUUGGAUAGAAAUGAAACAUUUGUUAUACCUCUGAAGGAUUCUCAAACAACAUUUGAAACGUACAGGAAAAUGCAUCUGGAAAAACGAAGCCGAAGCUUGGACAGCAGUCCCUCAAAUUAGAUAUCUAUAUGUCCCAGCUGAUCAACCUCCUUGGAAGUUUUUUAAUUCCAGCAGAUGGUCUAAUUGAUCAGGAUGAAAGUACUGCAAGCCCAAAGAGCACCCAGGAACUUUCGCCUGGAGGAAUGAUUUUGCUGUUGCUUAAACUUUGGGGAGGUAAUCGAAUAAUGCGCAAAAGCAGGCAAGCCUCUGCAGUACUUAGCAGGGGCUCUGGGAUCUAUGAAUGCUGCUAUCCAGUUUAUCUGGUUCAUUACACACUUAUCAGAAAGUGAACUUUCAUAUUGUGUUUAACUUCAGUUAUGUGACGAAUUCAUGUAUGUGUGCUUCUUGUUAUUAAAGGAAGCCAAAGACUAUUGUUAAGUACUACUACAGUGGUUAAAAUGUCAGUGGAUUUGGACACCCAACAUUUUGAUCAACUUUAUGAGGGUAAAGAUUUCAUUUGAAUUCUUAGUCAGUUGUUUUAACUGUACAAAAUCCCUCUGUAAGCUAUAUUAGCUAACUAAUUGAAAUAUGUACCCUAAAAGCUCCUAGAAUGUCGAGUAUUGUUUUAUAACUGUCUUUUGUAUUUUUUGAUAUUUUGGAAAUUAUUAAUGUAAUAUUGGGGCAUUUGUUGUUGUUUAGUCUUUUUUAAAUGUUCAGUUACACACACAAAAUGACAUCGUUAAAUUGAAUUAAAAGCACAUUUAUUUUGA